UACCUGUUCCUGCCCUACCUGUUGCC
rnacentral:piRNA from 1 species